rnacentral:rRNA from 1 species
UACGUAGGGUGCGAGCGUUGUCCGGAAUUAUUGGGCGUAAAGAGCUCGUAGGCGGUGUGUCACGUCGGCCGUGAAAACCUGCAGCUUAACUGUGGGCGUGCGGUCGAUACGGGCAUCACUGGAGUUCGGCAGGGGAGACUGGAAUUCCUGGUGUAGCGGUGAAAUGCGCAGAGAUCGGGAGGAACACCCGUAGCGAAGGCGGCACUCUGGGCCGGUACUGACGCUGAGGAGCGAAAGCGUGGGGAGCAAACAGG